CACAUCUGGAACAGAGGAAAGGGAGAUUAUUAUACAGGCAGGAGAGGAGCCUCCACUCCUACGCUUAUAGGGAGAACAGCUAAUUCCUCAAGACGGAGCUUACACUUAAUGCUCAGCUGCAGUGGGAUGAUUGAAGGAAGGCUGCAGGUCAGGUUUUGCCCCCAAAGUGCAGCAAGAAUGGAAUAACGUCCUCUUUCACCUGGCCUGUGUAACCUGAGCCCCGGCCCAGAAGGAUGCCUACAAGUGGAUGAGGGGCUUCCCCAAAGGACGGUUGUUUUUUGGAUCCUUAGAGCCCCACUCUCCUGACAGGGGAAAAAGCACGCAGCCAUCUUUAGGGAGCAAACAACAUGACUCACGGGCAGCUGACAACAGGAAAACAUAAAGCCUGGAGGGAGGAAUGUUUCCAGUGGGAACCCAGUUAUCAGGGGAAGCAGCUGAACGGUGGUGGCAGCAGUUGCCAUCACAUGACCUUUGCGGGUGCAGACGUGGUGGUAGGCUUUGCUGAACGCAUGGGAAACGCCCUGUGGGAGCAGAACCCUUGGCAUGAGAAGGAAUGAUUACAAUACGAUCAAGCUGGGGACAGUGCCACAGUGGCAAGAGGAAGCACAAACUCGGUAGCACGAACAAAACACCGUGCGGCAGGGACAAGCUCGGAGUACAGGGCAGCCCCCGAGCCCCACUGUCACACGGGACUGCAGGCUUCCUGGCCAAGCUCCUGAUGAAAUGGGAGGCGAGCUCCAAAAGAAAGUGUUAGCUUGCUCUGCUCCCUGCUGGCCGAAUCACCAACUACAGGGACUGGUUCUAGGAGGAGCUGCAUCCCGGCCAGGUAAAAUGACCCCCCGCAGCCAAUAACUUUGGAGCAGGUACAACUCUGUACUUGCCUCAGCAGGCAGGCCUAAUGGGGAGGAAGCCACCUAGAUAACUGCUGAUAAGGGGAUUGCUGUUGGCAUUGUUCAAGCCAUUUGCACAUCCCAUAGCGUGCUGCGGGUCUACAGGCAGCCACACUGUUGGUCUAAUCAAAAUCUUGUUGGUCUAAUAAAAGAUAUCAUCUCUACUACGA